UACGUAGGGUGCGAGCGUUGUCCGGAAUUACUGGGCGUAAAGAGCUCGUAGGUGGUUUGUCGCGUUGUUCGUGAAAACUCACAGCUUAACUGUGGGCGUGCGGGCGAUACGGGCAGACUGGAGGUAUGCAGGGGAGAACGGAAUUCCUGGUGUAGCGGUGAAAUGCGCAGAUAUCAGGAGGAACACCGGUGGCGAAGGCGGGUCUCUGGGCAACAACUGACGCUGAGGAGCGAAAGCGUGGGGAGCGAACAGG
rnacentral:rRNA from 1 species